rnacentral:tRNA from 1 species
GAGGGUAUAGCUCAGUGGUAGAAUGCAUGCACAAGGUCCUGGGUUCGAUCCCCAGUACCUCCA